rnacentral:tRNA from 1 species
UCCCUGAUGGUCCAGUGGUUAGGACUCCCUACUUCCGCUGCAGGGGGCGCCAGUUCAAUUCUUGGUCAGGGAA